rnacentral:rRNA from 1 species
AUUGAACGCUGGCGGCAUGCUUUACACAUGCAAGUCGAACGGCAGCGCGGGGCAACCUGGCGGCGAGUGGCGAACGGGUGAGUAAUAUAUCGGAACGUACCCAGAAGUGGGGGAUAACGUAGCGAAAGUUACGCUAAUACCGCAUACGAUCUACGGAUGAAAGUAGGGGACCGCAAGGCCUUAUGCUUUUGGAGCGGCCGAUAUCUGAUUAGCUAGUUGGCGAGGUAAAGGCUCACCAAGGCGACGAUCAGUAGCUGGUCUGAGAGGACGACCAGCCACACUGGAACUGAGACACGGUCCAGACACCUACGGGAGGCAGCAGUGGGGAAUUUUGGACAAUGGGCGCAAGCCUGAUCCAGCAAUGCCGCGUGAGUGAAGAAGGCCUUCGGGUUGUAAAGCUCUUUUGUCAGGGAAGAAACGGUAGAGGCUAAUAUCCUUUGCUAAUGACGGUACCUGAAGAAUAAGCACCGGCUAACUACGUG